rnacentral:tRNA from 1 species
GCCUAGACAGCUCAGUCAGUAGAGCUUGAGACUCUUAAUCUCAGGGUGGUGGGCUCAUGCCCCGUGUUGGGCG